CACUGCCCCUCCCUGUACUGUCUCUCUCACACCCUUCUACAGCCGCUUCCCCAUUCCCACCACUGUGACCCUCUCCUUCUCCCAUUCACCUCCGUUGCUUGGCUCCCUCUUUAGUGUUGGCACUGCCCUCUGGCCUCUUUUGACGACAGGGUACGUGCUUGUGACCUGUGACUGCAUUCUGUAGUCCCAACUCCAAACAGAACGUCUGGCAAAGGGGUCGGCUUUGUCGUGAGGGGACAAGGUAGGCAAGUGAAACAAAAGGGCACAACACAGGAGGAGGGAAAAGGUAUAAUUGAAUGGGGGAAGAGGAAAUGAUGCUGCUGAAAGUGGCAGAAGUACAGAGGUCUGCAACUGACAGAGGAAAAGUGCUCCCCAAUCCAGACAUUCAGUCUAAAAGACCAGAGUCCUGCCCUGAUGAAGCACUCACCUUGGCACCAAGGUUCCCCAGAGAUGAAUGGAGCUGAUUCCAGACCAACUGGCAAAAAAAUAAAUACCACAUAUAUCAUCAGAAGAACUGAAGACUUUAGAGAUAACUCAUGAAAGGCACAUGUAGAGAUUGAUAAAAGUGGGACUGACUGAAAUUAGCAGAAUUUGGUACGUGAAAUAAAGUUGGCAUUAGAGAUAA